UACGUAGGGCGCAAGCGUUGUCCGGAUUUAUUGGGCGUAAAGAGCUCGUAGGCGGUUCGUCGCGUCGGCUGUGAAAACCCGGAGCUCAACUCCGGGCCUGCAGUCGAUACGGGCGGACUUGAGUGUUGCAGGGGAGACUGGAAUUCCUGGUGUAGCGGUGAAAUGCGCAGAUAUCAGGAGGAACACCGGUGGCGAAGGCGGGUCUCUGGGCAACUACUGACGCUGAGGAGCGAAAGCGUGGGGAGCGAACAGG
rnacentral:rRNA from 1 species